AGGAGGAGGAAAUACGAAAACAAAGUAAUGAUGAUAAUGAGGAAACAAGUAGAGGAGGAAGAGAAAGAGGUAGGGGGAAGAGGAGGAAGAAACGCGAAAACAAGGUAACUAUGAUAAUGAGGAAACAAGUAGGAGAGGAGGAGGAGGAAAGCGAGGUGAAUACAGACAGACAGUAGCUUCUCUUCGUUAGUCUUUUGCCAGCUGAAGUGGUGCAUGGAGAGAGGUGGUGGUGCAAACGGUACCUGUCCUGCCCAUCUUCAGUAUCAUCACAACCUAGGAAUGAAGGAAGGAAUACAAAGUUGUUCUGCUUCAUAUUCUCUCGUUUGGCACGGGUUUCUCAUCACAACCUAGGAAGGAAAGAAGGAAGGAAUUCACAAUUGUUCUGCUUCGUAUUCUCUCGCUUCGCACGGGUUUCCAUGGUGAUGCAUGAAGUAUUUAAAACCUGGAGACGAAAGAACGCAAAGAUUCAUUGCAGUCUCUCGUGUCGUACAAGUUUCCGUGGUGGUGAUAAUGAACCAAGAUCUGGAGACUCCACAAAGCAAACGAGUGUUGGUGAAUGGUUCAUUGCCAUAUUUCAAACUUUUACCCUUCACUACAUUACGUUGUGUACUCUUUCUACCCAGUGUUUAUAUAGUUCUGGAGUCUCCACAAGGUAAACUUGUACUGGUGAAUGGUUUGUUAUAAUAUUGGUCUUUUUAAAUAAAAUAUUACUUUAAAAUCGCAAUCCUUUGAGAAAUGUAUAAACACAAUGCACAUCUAGGGUAAAUAAUAAUGCAAUUAGACUUAGGGGUUAAUAAUGCAUAAAAUCUUAAUCGCAAUCCUUUGAGAAAUGUAUAAACACAAUGCACAUCUAAGAUACUAAAAAUACUGUUACGAGUUGAAAAUACUCAGACUCAACGGAGAUGAGGCGAAUAGGUAAUUACUGAGAAAAUAAAACCAAUAGUGUCCCUCUAAAAUUGUCAUUAUUUAAUAAAACAAUUCUAUUAAUAAAACUCCCAUAACAAUG